rnacentral:rRNA from 1 species
CCUACGGGAGGCAGCAGUGAGGAAUAUUGGUCAAUGUGCGCGAGCCUGAACCAGCCAAGUAGCGUGAAGGAUGACUGCCCUACGGGUUGUAAACUUCUUUUAUAAAGGAAUAAAGUGAGGCACGUGUGCCUUUUUGUAUGUACUUGAUGAAUAAGGAUCGGCUAACUCCGUGCCAGCAGCCGCGGUAAUACGGGGGAUACGAGCGUUAUCCGGAUUUAUUGGGUUUAAAGGGAGCGUAGAUGGGUUGUUAAGUCAGUUGUGAAAUUUUGCGGCUCAACCGUAAAAGUGCAAUUGAUACUGGCAGUCUUGAGUACAGUAGAGGUAUGCGGAAUUCGUGGUGUAGCGGUGAAAUGCAUAGAUAUCACGAAGAACUCCGAUUGCGAAGGCAGCUUACU